CUCCAGCCUGGGCAACAGAGUGAGAACCUAUCUCUAAAAUAAUAGUAAGUAAAAAUAAUAAAUAAAUGAAGCUCUCUGCCCACGAUCCAAUCUCAGGGUAAGGAAUUGGCACAGCCUGGAUUUGAAGGUGGGUCUCUAUGAACCUGUGCUUCAAUCCAUCCCACUUCAUAAUCGCCUCUCCACAGGCCUCCAUCCAACCACAGCUGCACAGGCAUCAGAGCUUUGGUUCUACAACGUGAGCUGAUACCAAUAGCCCCUGGAGGGAUUGUUAAAACACUGAUUCCAGGGCCCUAGCCAUGGAGUGUCUGAUUCAGUAGGCCUUAGGUAAGGUCUGAAAAUCUGCAUUUCUAACAAGGUCCCAGGUGAUACUGACGCUACUGAUUCAGGGAUCACACUUUGAGAACCGCUGAAUAGACUGCCAUUCAAGCCAAGAUUCCAGCUCAUGUUCAUGGGUCUGCACCUGCAUACAAAUGCCAAGAGGACUGGCCCACCCCCGGGAUCUGUCCUCACCCGCUCCUCACCAAGCACCCGGCUGCAAGUUCCCAGCAGGGCUCGGAAGUCCCGGGGCCUCCUGUGAAGCUGGGACCACCAUGCUGGUCCAGCCUCCUUGGUUGUGGUCGUGGCCGGAAGCAGCCAGACUGCUGGCCCCUUUGAGAGCGGGUGUCUCUGUGAGAGAGUGACUGCUGGGAGGUCUUCAGGGAACUUGGGCGCCGCUGGGACAAUUGGUCGCUGUUUGGGGGAGUGAGGUUGGCAGGCCCUUGGCCCUCGGCACUGAGCCUCUGCCAGGCCCCUGCCAAGCCUGGGGCUGGUUUCCCACUGCCUGCUAGUUUCAGGGCCAUUUGGGGAGGGGGCCCAGGGGAAUUCAUUGCCCCUCUCUUCAGCGUCUUUGCUGUGGUCCAGGAAGCCCGGGCAGUGUCUGCUCUCAGACAGCAGGUCAGCACAGCCUCAGACAUGUUCUGAUGAUGCCCGCUGUGUACCAGGCUAGGGGCGGGAUACUUAGAACCAGCCUCCCAGAUGCCUUAGAGACCUCUCCAAUGGGCUGCCAGGGGCCUCACAGGCCAUGGUAAUGCAGAAGCCCUGGCUAGAUUGAGCCCUUGCAUGCUUGUUAACUCUGGUUGGCCCUAGUCAAGAGCCUUGGCUGGGGAAACAACUGACAAAACAAAGCCUCUACCCUCCUGCAA
rnacentral:lncRNA from 1 species